AGCUUUGCGCAGUGGCAGUAUCGUAGCCAAUGAGGUUUAUCCGAGGCGCGAUUAUUGCUAAUUGAAAAGAUAAAUUACCUAUGUGUCAGUGAGUGUAUUGUAAAUCAUUAGCCCCUCCCAAUAAAAUAAAAUAGAG
rfam:Erinaceus europaeus unplaced genomic scaffold scaffold00111, whole genome shotgun sequence